GGCGGCGUGCUUACACAUGCAAGUCGAACGAACCUUCGGGUUAGCGGCGGACGGGUGAGUAACGCGUGAGAAUCUGCCCUCAGGAGGGGGAUAACGGUUGGAAACGACCGCUAAUACCCCAUAUGCCUAUUGGUGAAAUGAAUUUCGCCUGAGGAUGAGCUCGCGUCUGAUUAGCUAGUUGGUGAGGUAAUGGCUCACCAAGGCUUCGAUCAGUAGCUGGUCUGAGAGGAUGAUCAGCCACACUGGGACUGAGACACGGCCCAGACUCCUACGGGAGGCAGCAGUGGGGAAUUUUCCGCAAUGGGCGAAAGCCUGACGGAGCAACGCCGCGUGAGGGACGAAGGCCUCUGGGCUGUAAACCUCUUUUCUCAAGGAAGAAGAUAUGACGGUACUUGAGGAAUAAGCCACGGCUAAUUCCGUGCCAGCAGCCGCGGUAAUACGGGAGUGGCAAGCGUUAUCCGGAAUUAUUGGGCGUAAAGCGUCCGCAGGCGGCCUUUCAAGUCUGCUGUUAAAACGUGGAGCUUAACUCCAUCAUGGCAGUGGAAACUGAAAGGCUUGA
rnacentral:rRNA from 1 species